rnacentral:rRNA from 1 species
UUAAGUAGGAUGGAAGCGCGAGAUCCGGAUAGGCAAAUCCGCCGGGUCGUAUGCCAGGAAAAUCCGCUAAGGUUAGGCUAUUGGAGACCGUACCACAAACCGACACAGGUGGACGAGUAGAAUAUACUCAGGCGCUCGGGUGACCGAUUGUUCAGGAACUAGGCACAUUAACCCCGUAACUUCGGGAGAAGGGGUGCUCUACUUCGGUAGAGCCGCAGCGAAUCGCGUCAGGCGACUGUUUAACAAAAACACAGGUCUCUGCAAAGUCAAAAAUACGACGUAUAGGGGCUGACUCCUGCCCGGUGCCGGAAGGUUAAAAGGAGAGGUUAGUGGCUAGCAAUAGCUGCGAAGCUUUGAAUUGAAGCCCCGGUGAACGGCGGCCGUAACUAUAACGGUCCUAAGGUAGCAAAAUUCCUUGUCGGGUAAGUUCCGACCUGCACGAAUGGAGUAACGAUCUGACGACUGUCUUAACAAUUAGCCCGGCGAAUUUGUGGUUCCGGUGAAGACGCCGGAUGCCCGCAGCAAGACGGAAAGACCCCGUGCACCUUUACUAUACUUUAUCAAUGAUUUAUGGGUUGUUCUGCGCAGGAUAGGUGGGAGGCUUUGAAGUCGGACUCUUGGGUUCGAUGGAGCCAAUGGUGAGAUACCACCCUGAUCAAUCUGUGACUCUAACCUACUCCCGUUAUCCGGGAGAGGGACAUUGGUAGACGGGUAGUUUGACUGGGGCGGUCGCCUCCUAAAAUGUAACGGAGGCGUACGAAGCUACGUUCACUCUGUUUGGAAAUCAGAGGUCGAGUGCAAUGGCAUAAACGUGGUUAACUGCGAGACCAACAAGUCAAGCAGAUGCGAAAGCAGGUCAUAGUGAUCCGGUGGUUCUGUAUGGAAGGGCCAUCGCUCAACGGAUAAAAGGUACGCCGGGGAUAACAGGCUGAUCGGAGCCAAGAGUUCACAUCGACGCUCCGGUUUGGCACCUCGAUGUCGGUUCAUCGCAUCCUGGGGGUGUAGAAGCUCCCAAGGGUUAGGCUGUUCGCCUAUUAAAGCGGUACGUGAACUGGGUUCAGAACGUCGCGAGACAGUUCGGUCCCUAUCUGCUGUGGGCGUAGGAAAAUUGAGAGGGCCUGGCAUUAGUACGAGAGGACCGUGCUGGACCAACCUCUUGUGAUUCAGUUGUCCCACCAGGGGCACUGCUGAGUAGCGAAGUUGGGUUAGGAUAAGCGCUGAAUGCAUAUAAGCGCGAAACCUUCCUCAAGAUGAGUUUUCCCAAGCAUUAAGCUAAGAAGGGCCGUGGUAGACCACCACGUCGAUAGGACGGAUGUGUAAGCGCAGUGAUGCGUUGAGCUAACCGUUACUAACCGCCCGUUCGGCUUGACCAA